CACGCAGGCGGUGUAGCAAGUCCCGUGUGAAAGCCUCAGGCUCAACCUGAGAAGGUCACGGGAAACUGCUACGCUAGAGUACGAGAGGGGAGAGCGGAAUUCCCAGUGUAGAGGUGAAAUUCGUAGAUAUUGGGAGGAACACCGGCGGCGAAAGCGGCUCUCUGGCUCGAUACUGACGCUCAUGUGCGAAAGCGUGGGGAGCAAACA
rnacentral:rRNA from 1 species